CUUUACUGUAGCCUGGUAUUGGGUUCGGGCUUUGACUGCGCAGGAUAGGUGGGAGACUGAGAAGUGUGCCUUGUGGGGCACAUAGAAUCAACGGUGAGAUACCACUCCGUCAGAGCUAGAAUUCUAACCUUCACCCGUGAUCCGGGGAAGGAACCGUAUCAGGUGGGCAGUUUGACUGGGGCGGUCGCCUCCUAAAAGGUAACGGAGGCGCGCAAAGGUGUUCUCAGGCUGGUUGGAAAUCAGCCGUAGAGUGUAAAGGCAGAAGAACGCUAGACUGUGAGAGUGACAACUCAAGCAGGGUGGAAACACGGCCUUAGUGAUCCGACGGUAUGCGCGUGGAAGUGCCGUCGCUCAACGGAUAAAAGUUA
rnacentral:rRNA from 1 species